CAUGCAAGUCGAGCGAGAACCAGGACUUCGGUCCUGGGGACAGCGGCGAACGGGUGAGUAACACGUGGGUAAUCUGCCCUCGAUUCUGGGAUAGCCCGGGGAAACUCGGAUUAAUACCGGAUAGCCUUUCAAGCUUUCGGGCGUGAAAGAAAAGGUAGCUUCGGCCUCCGAUCGAGGAUGAGCCCGCGGUGGAUUAGCUUGUUGGCGGGGUAAUGGCCCACCAAGGCGACGAUCCAUAGCUGGUCUGAGAGGACGAUCAGCCACACUGGGACUGAGACACGGCCCAGACUCCUACGGGAGGCAACAGUGGGGAAUCUUGCGCAAUGGGCGAAAGCCUGACGCAGCGACGCCGCGUGGGGGAAGAAGGCCUUAGGGUUGUAAACCUCUUUCAGGUGGGACGAAGCCACUCGGGUUAAUAGCCCAGAGGGUGACGGUACCGCCAGAAGAAGCCCCGGCUAACUACGUGCCAGCAGCCGCGGUAAUACGUAGGGGGCAAGCGUUGUCCGGAUUUAUUGGGCGUAAAGAGCGUGUAGGCGGCCAGGUAGGUGGGUUGUGAAAACUGGAGGCUCAACCUUCAGACGUCGACCCAAACCCCCUGGCUAGAGUCCGGAAGAGGAGAGUGGAAUUCCUGGUGUAGCGGUGAAAUGCGCAGAUAUCAGGAAGAACACCCGUGGCGAAGGCGGCUCUCUGGAACGGUACUGACGCUGAGACGCGAAAGCGUGGGGAGCGAACAGGAUUAGAUACCCUGGUAGUCCACGCCGUAAACGAUGGGUGCUAGGUGUGGGGGGUGUCAACUCCCUCCGUGCCGAAGCUAACGCAUUAAGCACCCCGCCUGGGGAGUACGGCCGCAAGGCUAAAACUCAAAGGAAUUGACGGGGGCCCGCACAAGCAGCGGAGCAUGUGGUUUAAUUCGACGCAACGCGAAGAACCUUACCAAGGCUUGACAUGCAUUUGAAAAACGUGGAAACACGUUCCCUCUUCGGGGCAAAUGCACAGGUGGUGCAUGGCU
rnacentral:rRNA from 1 species